rnacentral:lncRNA from 1 species
AUGAAAACAGUAGCCACACCGCUUCUUCUCUUCCAGCAGGGAUCUUGGGAGCGGGAUCCAAGAAAAGACCUCAUAACGCCACAAGGUUCAAAGGAGGAAAAUGUUUUGGAAAAGAGAAAGAGGGGAGUGUUUGUGGUUUCUGGAAGGAAAAAAAUGUUUGGAAGUCGGGUGGCCAAAUUCUCCUCCAGAAUCCGCGCCAAGGGAGAGCCGCCGGGGGCUGGGACUCCGCUCGUACAAACGGAAGCUUCGCUGCGGCUUGCUAAUUUGGGGCGGAGAGUGAAAUGGGGGGGGGGGAGGGAGAGAGAGAAAGUGUCCGUUGAGGGCGUUGAAGCGACACAAACCGCUCUCCGUGGGGCGCGCAGGCACGUCGUCCGGCCGGGGGGUCCCGGGCUGGGUCUCCGUUCGCUCCCUUCCUCCCCUCAGCGGCGCGGUGCCCGCCCGGGGCUCCUCCAGGCUUCUCCCGCGGCUGCCCGACGGGCGCGCGGCGCAGGCGGCGGCUGCUUCAUCCUCCCCAGGCGGAGGGAGUCCGCUCGUCCUUUCCCUCGUUCUCCUCCUCCUCCUUCGGCUCGGGAGCGGGCGGGAUACUUGCUGGGUUAGAAGUUACCGGCCAAAGUCUCCGGACUUUCUUCGGCCCGCCCGCUGCCUCUCGCUCACUCGCAGGGACGUGGCUGGCUUCGCGGUUCUCGUCCUCUCACACACUGCUCAUCCUUUGCGCGGGCGGGAGAUGAGGCGCACAAGUUCAACCGGCGACUCAAAACUUCCUCCGCUGCUUCUCCUUCUAGAGAAACAAAAUGAGAGAUAACCCACCGCCAUUCGCCGAAAUAAAAAUUGGGGAUAAAGACAUCCCUUCUCACACUCGCCACAAAAAACGCACCCGAGCCAGGGAGUUUUUCAGAAGCCGCGAAGGCGGGCGCCUUACACGGAGUAUCAAUUAGCGGAGGGAGGAGGUGGAGAAGGAGGAGUAUAAGACUUUCGACUCCAGAAUGGGCUGGUGGGAAAGGCGGGGCAUGAUCUAGACCCCGCCCACAACCAUUGCUCCUUCGUGGAAAGGAGAAUCAUAGAAACUGAAAGGCUAGAGUAACACCAUAGAGUUGGGACGUUACACACACACACACACACACACUGGCUUCCGGUUCCAUUUAGAAUGUGGUAGCCGCGUAAUAUGUCUGCGUGGAAGCGAGCGGAGCACAGCCGCGCCUGCACUUGGUUGACCGCAGCUUUUGACUGAGGGAGCGGUGGCGGUGACAGUUAACCAGGAUCACUCUUGCUGCGGAGCGUUGAUAACUCAUUCAUAGCAACACCGUUGGCUGAAUUUAGUGCACUUGAAAUACCAUUAUUAUUAUUGUU